UCGCUAUGGGAUGGCCCCGCGGUGCAUNAGCUAGUUGGUAAGGCAACGGCUUACCAAGGCAAUGAUGCAUAGCCGAGUUGAGAAACUGAUCGGCCACAUUGGGACUGAGACACGGCCCAAACUCCUACGGGAGGCAGCAGUAGGGAAUCUUCCACAAUGGACGCAAGUCUGAUGGAGCAACGCCGCGUGAGUGAAGAAGGUUUUCGGAUCGUAAAGCUUUGUUGUUGGUGAAGAAGGAUAGAGGUAGUAACUGGCCUUUAUUUGACGGUAAUCAACCAGAAAGUCACGGCUAACUACGUGCCAGCAGCCGCGGUAAUACGUAGGUGGCAAGCGUUGUCCGGAUUUAUUGGGCGUAAAGCGAGCGCAGGCGGAAGAAUAAGUCUGAUGUGAAAGCCCUCGGCUUAACCGAGGAACUGCAUCGGAAACUGUUUUUCUUGAGUGCAGAAGAGGAGAGUGGAACUCCAUGUGUAGCGGUGGAAUGCGUAGAUAU
rnacentral:rRNA from 1 species